CGAACCACACGAACGUUAUUCGGAAUCACUGGGCUUAAAGGGUGCGUAGGCGGCGCGGAAAGUAGGGUGUGAAAUCCCUCGGCUCAACCGAGGAACUGCGCCCUAAACUACCGUGCUCGAGGGAGGUAGAGGUGAGCGGAACUUAGGGUGGAGCGGUGAAAUGCGUUGAUAUCCUAAGGAACACCGGCGGCGAAAGCGGCUCACUGGACCUCUUCUGACGCUGAGGCACGAAAGCUAGGGUAGCGAACGGAAUUAGAUACCCCGGUAGUCCUAGCCGUAAACGAUGAGCACUGGACUGGAGGGUCCUCCAUAGCCUUCCGGUCGAAGCGAAAGUGUUAAGUGCUCCGCCUGGGGAGUAUGGUCGCAAGGCUG
rnacentral:rRNA from 1 species